rnacentral:siRNA from 1 species
AUAACCUAACUUUUACUUCGUAGC